ACUUCUGCGUCUCGUACCCGCAAACUGUGUGCCGCCCACAUUUCGCAGCAGCGGACGCGGAAGUGGGAGCAACGUGCAGACUGAGACUCACAGGUUUUCCCUGCAUGCCUGGGAUGCGGCGGUAACACGACCGACCGGGCUUCCGGAGGGCUGGGUUCUGUUUGGCGAGCUCUCCAGACACGGGUGCUCGCCAGGAAGCUCCUUCUGGCUCAGCUUUCCUGUAAACAGACAAGAGGGAGGAAAUCAACAGGCUCAGGGAGGUAAAAUGGGGGUAAUGACAUACAUACGUCUCGGGGACGUGUGGCUGUGCCUCUGUGUCAUUAGCACUGCAGCAGAAGCUUCCUCUGACCAAGGACAAAAAUCCAUGUGGCGGAUCCAGGGGGCCGAGGCCUCAGACGCUGCUGACCCCCAGAAGACCCCGGAGAGACCUCCUCCUGACUGGGGCGGCUGGAGAGGUGGCAGUGGCCUGGGGUGGGCAGCCCCCAGGAGCAUCCUCCAGGCCUCAGGCCUGCUGGUCCCAGCUGGGUGUUCCCUUUACACCUAAUUAGAUUUCGUUGUAAAGAGAUAAAGGCUGUUACUUGGUAUCAGCACAUCUUCCUCUGCAGGAAUGAGUUCCUGAGAGAGGAGACACAGGCAGGGAGAUGAGGGAAAGAGCCGGCAUGGGUAGACUCCGGAAUAAGGCCCUGACAGGCUCAAGUUGAUUCUGCAGCCCGGUAAAAUUGAGUGCAGAGGGAAUUGGGUUUGUGCCCUGUUAAAUGUAGCUGCCUCUUGCUGUCUAUACCAGGAGCUGUUAAAAUGGUAAUCGUUAGAGAUGUAUGGAAAUUGUGUGCGAACAGACCGGUGAACCAUCCUGGGGCGCAGGCUUCCUCUGCGCACGCAAAACGGCAUCGUUGUUCCUAAUAACAUCAUAAACACCUUGCGUUUGUAAUGCCCCAUCUGCCUCUCGUUGUGUCUGACGGAUGUAGGAGUAAGGAGUUCUGAGUCUUCCCGAGAAACAGCCCUGUGCCCACUGUCUCCAAAGCAGUCUCGAGAGGCCGACCCCACUCACGCUUGGGAAGCGCCCCAGUCCCGCAGGGCUGGGCUGUGCCUCAAGCCACCGCCACCAUGAUCCCACACGUCAAAGGACAGCGCGAGGGACGCAGAAGACCCGCCGGGAGGCGGCCGCCUCGGCCCCGCGGUCACAGGCUGCAAGGACUCCGACCACCCAGCUGGUGUGGGUGUCCAGGUGCCACUGUGUCCGGCCCCCUCCUUCCUUCCGGUUCCUCCCCGGGACGUCAUGGGAACAGAAACACGCAGGGUAGGCCUGUGGAUUAAGUUUCCUCCAAUAUGCUCAGAAUUUCGAACCCCCGUCUGCAUCCCGUAGGACACGGAGACUGAACCCAAUAGAUACGUGUGCAGGCGCCUUGGGUGGCUCGGUUGGUUGAGCGUCCUACUCUUGAUUUAGGCUCAGGUCGUGUCCCAGGGUCGUGGGUUCGAGCUCUGCAUCAGGCUCUGUGCUGACAGCAGAGAUUUUCUCUCUCUCUCUCUCCUUCUCCCUCUCUCUUUCUUUCUCUCAAGAUUAAAAAAUGAAUGCAUGUGGAACACCCGAUGUCAGCUGAGCCCCAGAAGUUGGUUUCUGCUGGGCUGACUGGAUUCAGCCUCUGUCUCCCUGUUCAUUCAACAGACAUUUACUGAGCGUCUGCUGACCCUGGUCGGGUGCAGCCGCGGGGGGACUGGGCACGCACGGAGAACCGCCUGCCAUCCCGGCACAGGGCAGGGAGGCAGAAGGCAGUGCGGGUGCCGACGGAUGCCAUGGGGACCGAUACGCAGGGGAAGGAAGGCGGUGAUGGCCCGGAGGGGGAGAGGGAGCCAGCUACUCGCACAUCUCGAGGGAAAAGCAUCCCAGGCAGAGGGAACAGCCAGUGCCAAGGCCCUGAGACAGAAGCACUUGGAAGGUCGAAAAACCAGAAGGCAUGGCGUGGCUGGAGGAGAAGGGGCACCGGGGGGCAAGCAAGCCAGAGACGGCGGCAGGAAGGACUUUGCUGGGGUGUGAACGGGCACUGGGCUGUGUGAGAAGUGAGUAGUUGUGUCUGGAAGCUGUCCAUUGCUGUGUAGCAAGCGACCCCAGACCAGCAGCUCCCGCGCCUGUAUCUGCUGGGACUACCGGGUCCUCUGGCUCAGGGUCCCUCACGGGCCGCAGCUGGCGUCGGCGGGGCCGAGGCCCGUCUGAAGACUCCACCGGGGAGGGACCCCCAUGCGAGCUUACGCACAGGCCUCGAAGCAGGAUUCAGCCGGACACCAUCCUCGGUCCCCUGUCUGAGGGCCUCUUCCGGGGGCCUCUGUCAAGGCGGCGGCUGCUGGCUCCAUCAGACGGAGGAAGCAGAGCAGGAGGGACAGACAGACAGGAGCCAGAGUCUUUAUACCCUAACGUGACUCCCAUGGCGUUUGCCUUCUGGUCAUCGGAGGCGAGUCCCAGCCCCACUCAGGGACCAGCACCAGCCAGGCCCAGGCAGCAGGAGCAUGGGGGCCGGUGGGUGUCCUGGGAAGAGGCUGGAUUUGCACACUUUUUUUUUUUAAAUAUGUAUUCAUUUUUUGAGAGAGAGAGAGACAGAGUGUGAGCGGGGGAGCAGCAGAGAGAGGGAGACACAGAAUCCGAAGCAGCUCUAGGCUCCGAGGUGUGGGCACAGAGCCAAACGCGGGGCUGGGACUCACGGACUGUGAGAUCACGACCUGAGCUGAAGUCAGACGCUCAACCGACUAAGCCACGCAGGCGCCCCUGCCCCCUUUUUUUCUUUUUAAUGUUUAUUUAUUUUUGACAGAGACGGAGAGAGAAUCCCAAGCAGACUGUGCUGACAGUGCAGGGCCUGGUGUGGGGCUCAAACCCACGCACGAACUGAGAGAUCAUGACCUGAGCCCAAACCAAGAGUGUGGAUGCUUAACCGACUGAACCACCCAGGUGCCCCUGGAUUUGCACCCUUUUUGAAAAUGCUGGAAAAAACAGGAUCUUUGGGCCAAGGGCCCAAGAGAGACGCCUUGGUUUUCGGCCUAGUGAUGGGGCCGUGCCGACCUCAGAUGGGGCUGACCAGCCCCACCCACAUGGGGCCCCUCAGCAGAAGAGGGAGGUGAGGAGGGAGGGGGUAAAAACCCAAGACCCAGAGCCCCCAGCGCAGACACCUCAGGGCAGACGCCCACCCAACGCCUGUUAACUGCAAGCCGUCCCUGACCUGUCCCUGACCUCCAGGCCACAGUCCCUGCAACUAAACUAGCCAAUCGCUGCAUGAUUGCAGCCGCUUUGCCUCGGAGGCGCCCGGGUCCCUGAACCCGCCAACCCUCCCAUUUAAUCCUCUUUAAGACUGGAGGCAGUGGCAGGGCCAGUAAUCAGGUUAGGGACAAUAUCCCACUGCUCAGGGCAAUGGUGGGGGUGGGGUGCCAGAGACUAGGUCCCUGCCCUCUGUUCACCCGGACACGGCGGCUAUCCUGCUCUGCCCGUGACCGUGACCGUGACCGUGACCGAGAGGGGAUCUGGGCCGACAACUGGCUUCCUUCCAUACCUUCCUUGCAAAAUAGUCCCGGACUGAGCGCCAAGUAGAGUCACAAACACCUCGAAGACGAGAUUGCAGGGAAACUGAGGCACCACAGCACCCUCUCUGUUCUCCGGAGGCCCAGAAAAGCAGAAGCAGCCCUCGGCCGGAGCAGCAGUCCCUGAGGGCCGUCACCCAGGAGGAAAGCCUUUUGUCCUUGGCGCCUGUGUGCCCGCUGGCUCCUCCCCACCUCCCUGUUCUGCACGCCUGCUCUCCCUCACUGGUCACCUCCUUCCUGGACCGCCCGCCCAAAGCCUCCCGGUGACGUCUCAGGGCACUUGCCCCCCAGACUGACUUGUAAUGAGCCUCCCCCUCCCCAGAGUGGAAGUCCCGGGGGGAGACUGGCCUGUGUGCCAGUCACGUCCCGACUCCCAGGAUGGGAGUGAAUGGGGGCAUGGGGGCAUGUGGGGUCAUGACAGGAGGAGGUCGAGGAGGUCGAGCGUGGCAGGAAACUCCCGCUGGGCAAGGUUGGAAACGCAUCCUGAAGCCAUUAGCACCUGUUCAUGGACGCGUGCCCAGCCGCCCACCCUGCCCCGCCCGGCCUGGCCCCUCCGUCUGUCCUGUUGGCAAGCGGCUGCUGACCUCUGCACCCUGCGUGAAGAGUCGGCCCAUCCACCGCCCGUCAGGAAGGGAAAGGCGGCCUGGAGAGGCGGGGAGCCCCCGAGCUGUGGCAGCAGGGACGUAAGCCCUUCCUCUGUGGGGCUUCUUCCCUGUUUGGGGGUCUGGGUGCCUACAGAGGCUCCCGAAUUCUUCCCUACAGCUCCUGGGUGACAGUGCCCAGCACAGGAGGAAACGGAAAGUGAAGGAGCCUGGGGGGUCCUGAGACCCCCAGAGCAGGGUUUGUCCCGUCCACACCCUGGGCCUGGAGAAGCCACAGGCGUGCUAUGGACCGGGGACCCAGAAUCCCCCUGUGCUGGGGCGGCGACCACCAGGUGGCAGUGUGGGACUGUCCUGCCCACCCCCGCCUCUGAGCCCUGGCUCUGGGCUGGAUGCCAAGGGUUUGGAGGGUCCUCCGCGCUCCGUGUGGGCGCUUGGUUAGAGACCUCCCACACCAGACUUCGGGCAGCAGCGGCCUGAGACAAGCCAGGCUGACGUCCACGUACUCCUGGGCCUGGCACCCAGCACACCUGCUCACACCUGGGCACACCUGGAACGACGGCCAGUGUCCACCUGCUUUUCUCUCUGCG